rnacentral:tRNA from 1 species
GCCUGGAUAGCUCAGUUGGUUAAAGCAUGGUACUGAUAAUGCCGAGGUUGCAGGUUUGAUCCCUGUAUGGGACA